rnacentral:pre_miRNA from 1 species
GGUUGGGAACCUUGUCUGAUAUAUAUAUAUAUAUAUAUAUAUAUAUAUAUAUAUGUAUCAGACAAGGUUCCCAACC